rnacentral:rRNA from 1 species
CCUACGGGAUGCAGCAGUGAGGAAUUUUGGUCAAUGGACGCAAGUCUGAACCAGCCAUGCCGCGUGCAGGAUGACGGCUCUAUGAGUUGUAAACUGCUCUUGUACGAGGGUAAACCCCGAUACGUGUAUCGGGUUGAACGUAUCAUACGAAUAAGGCUCGGCUAACUCCGUGCCAGCAGCCGCGGUAAUACGGAGGAUCCGAGCGUUAUCCGGAUUUAUUGGGUGUAAAGGGUGUGUAGGCGGUUUGAUAAGUUUGAGGUGAAAUGUCGGGGCUCAACCCCGAAACUGCCUUUUAUACUGUUGGACUAGAGGAUGGUUGCGGUAGGCGGAAUGUAUGGUGUAGCGGUGAAAUGCUUAGAGAUCAUACAGAACACCGAUUGCGAAGGCAGCUUACCAAACUAUAACUGACGUUGAGGCACGAAAGCGUGGGGAGCAAACAGGAUUAGAUACCCGAGUAGUC